CUUGAAGUGAACACAACAUAUAUUGUUCAAUCAAUCUUAUGUCCGCUUUCUGCAGGUCUAAUUACCAUAAUAGCAAUCGUUGCUGGUUUUGGACUACUAUUUUCACUCCUAGGUGUUGCCCAAGUCACAAAAAAACUCAAGAAACGAAGAGCCAAGAAGAUCAGACACAAAUUCUUUAAGAAAAACCAUGGACUGCUUCUACAACAGUUAAUCUCUUCGAACAAAGAUAUAGCCGAAAAGAUGAAGAUUUUCAGCUUAGAAGAUCUAGAACAAGCAACCAACAAAUUUGAUCAUAAUCGGGGUGGCGGUGGGCAUGGCACGGUGUAUAAAGCCAUCUUAUCUGAUCAACGUGUCGUGGCCAUCAAGAAGGCCAAAAUUGUUGUGCAGAGGGAAAUCGACCAGUUCAUAAAUGAGGUUGCCAUACUUUCACAGAUAAACCACAGGAAUGUGGUGAAACUUUUUGGUUGCUAUCUCGAGACAAAAGUUCCUCUACUAGUUUACGAGUUCAUAUUGAAUGGAACUCUCUCUUGUCAUCUCCAUGGCAAAAGUGAGAAUCAUUUGUCAUGGAAAACUCGAUUGAGGAUUGCUUUGGAAACUGCAAGGGCUAUUGCAUCUCUACACUCUGCAGCUUCCAUAUCAGUAUACCAUAGAGAUAUCAAAUGUGCCAAUAUUCUACUUACUGAUACUUUAAUAGCAAAAGUAUCAGAUUUUGGUGCUUCGAGGUCAAUUGCAAUAGACGAGACAGGAAUACUUACAGUUGUCCAAGGAACCUAUGGUUACCUUGAUCCUGAAUACUACUACACGAGUCGAUUGACGGAGAAGAGUGAUGUUUACAGUUUUGGUGUCAUCCUAGCAGAGCUAUUGACAAGUGUCACGCCAGUUUUUUCUUCUCAUUCAUCAGAAGGAACAAGCCUAGCAUCGCACUUUGUA
rnacentral:rRNA from 1 species